rnacentral:rRNA from 1 species
GACAGAAUGCUUAACACAUGCAAGUCGACUCGAGUCUUCGGACUUGGGUGGCGCACGGGUGAGUAACGCGUAAAGAACUUGCCUCUUAGACCGGGACAACAUCUGGAAACGGAUGCUAAUACCGGAUAUUAUGGUUUUUUCGCAUGGAGGAAUCAUGAAAGCUAGAUGCGCUAAGAGAGAGCUUUGCGUCCCAUUAGCUGGUUGGUGAGGUAACGGCCCACCAAGGCAAUGAUGGGUAGCCGGCCUGAGAGGGUGAACGGCCACAAGGGGACUGAGACACGGCCCUUACUCCUACGGGAGGCAGCAGUGGGGAAUAUUGGACAAUGGACCGCAAGUCUGAUCCAGCAAUUCUGUGUGCACGAUGACGUUUUUCGGAGUGUAAAGUGCUUUCAGUCGGGAAGAAGUCAGUGACGGUACCGACAGAAGAAGCGACGGCUAAAUACGUGCCAGCAGCCGCGGUAAUACGUAUGUCGCAAGCGUUAUCCGGAUUUAUUGGGCGUAAAGCGCGUCUAGGCGGCAAGGAAAGUCUGAUGUGAAAAUGCGGAGCUCAACUCCGUAUGGCGUUGGAAACUGCCUUACUAGAGUACUGGAGAGGUAGGCGGAACUACAAGUGUAGAGGUGAAAUUCGUAGAUAUUUGUAGGAAUGCCGAUGGGGAAGCCAGCCUACUGGACAGAUACUGACGCUAAAGCGCGAAAGCGUGGGUAGCAAACAGG